rnacentral:lncRNA from 1 species
UGACAGUUUCACUACUAUACUGGAGCUGCUCGAUGAUUAGCAUGCAGAUAUACUACGAUAGUGUGGCCCCUGUACCAGUUAAGAGAUGUGCAGUACUCGGGUCAAAUCAUCGAUGCACUUCUAUGUCGGUUACUGAGUCUAAUCGAUAGCGAUGCCCUCCAUUUCGACCUCGGGGACAAAGUCUCCAUUUUUUCCAUGUUCGAGUUUGCCUUGAUCACUUGACUGAAGAUUACAAACGAUGACACAGCUAGUGACGAGACUCAAAGAAGAAAUAGGCUGCAGGACGCUUACCUCCACCAACAACGGAUGGUGGUUUUGACUCAGCUGAUCAAUGCAAUCAGGAGGUGUGAGCAGACGUUAGACAAACUAAAGUUAGGUCUGGUCUACAUUCUUAAGAGUGUGGUGUAGUGUCAUCACACGAAGAUUGCGAUCAACCCCAUUAAAUCCUCUACCGAGGCCAUUAAAUCCUGAUCAAUUUAGCAUAGUUUUCCUCUGUCAAGCCCACUAAAUCUUCCAACACACAUACUUUGGCCUUCUAGGCCUUCUGGUAGUUCAUGACUAUUCCGUACUCUCGACGGACAUCAUUAAUGAUGCUCGAUGGUUCGUAGAUCGUCCGUGGAUUCUGAUACUUAUGCAUUAUCUGUCAACCAAUAAACCAAGCUUGGGUUUGCCUGUGAUCAUUUCGACGAACUCCCACUUCACAAGUAUGUUUCCGUGUAUAUUUGCAAACUACAAAACACUCAUUCGUGUCCAUCUUCGUUGUUCGCGAACGCCAACGGCAACUAUCAUCUAUGUCAUCGAUCAUCAACAACGACUUAUUCGAUUUUUUCACUUUGAAUUCAAAAGUUGUAUUUUAGUACAAUUAAGUGCACAGCUUCCUACAAAUCUUUCUUCGUUUCAAAUAAUUGCUCGACAUACAAAUUAUCGCUAUCAGGAACCACAUGCGAGGAGUUAGAUGGAUGGUCCACUCUAUCCAGCCCCUGAGGUUCGAUCCCGCUCAUGUCUUUGCCUAGAUAAAGCAAUUAAAUCCUCAUUUGUAAAAGUAUUUAUAUUUUCAUUCUCGUUGUCGUGAACUACGGAUGGAAUUCUGUGCGUAACUAUUUUUAGAAUAAUCACAUCAUCUCCACGAGCUAUCUCCACCGUAUCCUAAAAAUCAUUAGCAUUGUGAUCCCUUCCAUCCAAGUCUACUUGUUCACUUUCGACGACAUCCUUCCUUACUAAAGUCACACAAAGAGGAGUGGGUGUUUAUCGUUCAAUUCAAACGGAUAAUUCACUUCAGCAUCCGAAGAAAUCGUCAUAGGUGGAAUCGAAAUAUCCGCUUGCUCGCUGAAUUUAAAUUUUAAUUCCAU